GACGAACGCUGGCGGCGUGCUUAACACAUGCAAGUCGAACGCUGAAGACCUGGCUUUUGUUGGGUUGGAUGAGUGGCGAACGGGUGAGUAACACGUGAGUAACCUGCCCUCUUCUUUGGGAUAACGCCCGGAAACGGGUGCUAAUACUGGAUAUUCACUGAUCUUCGCAUGGGGGUUGCUGGAAAGGUUUGUUCUGGUGGGGGAUGGGCUCGCGGCCUAUCAGCUUGUUGGUGGGGUGAUGGCCUACCAAGGCUUUGACGGGUAGCCGGCCUGAGAGGGUGACCGGUCACAUUGGGACUGAGAUACGGCCCAGACUCCUACGGGAGGCAGCAGUGGGGAAUAUUGCACAAUGGGCGAAAGCCUGAUGCAGCGACGCCGCGUGAGGGAUGGAGGCCUUCGGGUUGUAAACCUCUUUCGCUCAUGGUCAAGCCGCAACUGUGGGUUGUGGUGAGGGUAGUGGGUAAAGAAGCGCCGGCUAACUACGUG
rnacentral:rRNA from 1 species